rnacentral:lncRNA from 1 species
AGUGAUCCCAGGAAUGGUGGCACAACCUUCAACCUUAGCUCUCAGGCGGCUGAGGCAGUAGAUCUUUGUAAGUUCGAAGCCAACGGGAUCUACACAGAGAGCUCCAAGUCAGCCAAGGCUACACAUAGAAACAUUGUUCCAAACAAAAACCAAACUCCAGGACAAGGCUGUGGAUUUGUGAGGCAGAAUCUACAAGCAAUGAAUGAGUGGAGAGCCCAUGCAGCUAAGAAAUCUGUUCCAUGCCCCACAGCUUGUGACUGUGGGACUCUGUGGGCAUGAAACCUGGCUUGUAACUUCACACCUUCAUUGGGGUAGCAAGCUGGCCUGAAGCUCAAGACCACAUGAAGCCCUACUGAGUCUGCUUCUCCCUGCUUCCUGUUCCUCUACAUCGCUGGCUCUGGCUCAGUUUCCCACCUGGACACCAGUGUGACUUUCAGACAGCAGUCACUCUGACUCUGGAGCCCAACUGAGACUGACCAGAAAUGGGGAUGUGACAAGUGACGCCAGCUAGACCUCCUCUAGCGACUGCACCACGCGCAUGGAAAGACACACUGUAGGGCGAGGGGGACAGAGUUACGCCCGGGCUCUCUGGAUGGCAGCUUUGGA